rnacentral:rRNA from 1 species
AUGUUAGCACAGCCAAUCAAUUUUCUGUCGUGGAAUGUCCGUGGUCUGAACUGCCCUGACCGACGCUCUACAGUUCAUGAAACAAUUGCAGCUACAUCAUGUCAUAUUUUAUGCCUUCAGGAGACUAAGCUUGACCUGGUUGAUCAGUUCCUUGCGGCCUUCCUGGGGGGUCAUCGCUUGUGCAGCUUUGCCCAAAGACCGGCAACAGGCACCAGAGGCGGCAUACUCAUGUUGUGGGACGACAAUGUUGUAGGGGUCUCCAAUAUUGUCGCCUCUGAAUUUUGCCUCUCUGCUGAUAUAAAAAUACACGCCAACGACAUCUCCUUCAAGCUGACAUCCGUGUAUGGGCCAACCUCCUCCUCCAGGAAGAAUGAUUUCUUCGCCGAGUUGAUCGCCCUAAAGCCGCCGCCAGGCACUAAGUGGUUGGCGCUUGGUGAUUUCAACCAAAUUUGUAAGGCCCGGGAUAAGAACAAGCGUAAUGUGAACUCUAGCCGUAUCAACCGUUUUCGGACAGCGCUCAACUCGUGUGAGCUUAGGGAGAUCCACAUGCAGAAUAGGCGCUUCACAUGGAGUAAUGAGCGUCAAAACCCGACGCUUUGCAAGUUAGACUCCUUCUUCUGUAACGAUGAGUGGGAUCUGUGUUUUGGCACCCAUGUACUACACGCCCUGUCCUCGUCGCUUUCUGACCAUUGCCCAUUGCUCCUUGCUGAUGACCGUGGCCCGCGGCGACCACGCAUUUUCAGAUUCGAAAACUUUUGGACAUCCAUCCCCGGGUUCCAGGAGGUGGUCAAGAGAGCUUGGCAGAUUGAUGUGGGACACUCUGACCCCUACCAGGUCUUGUUCAAUAAGCUAUAGAGGACGGGUUCCCGUUUGUCGGUCUGGAGCAGAUCCCUUUUCUCCAAAGCCAAAAUCCACCUACAUGCUGCCCUCUUGAUUAUUCUCAAAUUGGAUGUAGCGCAAGAAUCCAGGCUGCUCUCCGCCGGGGAGCAAGACCUCCGUGCCAGACUCAAGAGGAGGGUGAUCAGUUUGUCGGUGCUCGAGCGCUCUCGGAAAAAUCAAUGUGCACGUAUCACCAGCCUGAAGGAGGGUGAUGCC